rnacentral:rRNA from 1 species
UACGUAGGGGGCUAGCGUUGUCCGGAUUUAUUGGGCGUAAAGAGCGUGUAGGCGGCUUGGCAAGUCUGCUGUGAAAACUCGAGGCUCAACCUCGAGCUGUCGGUGGAAACUGCUUGGCUAGAGUCCGGAAGAGGAGAGUGGAAUUCCUGGUGUAGCGGUGAAAUGCGCAGAUAUCCGGAGGAACACCGGUGGCGAAGGCGGCUUCCUGGACCGACACUGACGCUGAGGCGCGAAAGCUAGGGGAGCAAACGGG